rnacentral:rRNA from 1 species
GACGAACGCUGGCGGCGUGCUUAACACAUGCAAGUCGAACGGAAAGGCCCUGCUUUUGUGGGGUGCUCGAGUGGCGAACGGGUGAGUAACACGUGAGUAACCUGCCCUUGACUUUGGGAUAACUUCAGGAAACUGGGGCUAAUACAGGAUAGGAGCUCCUGCUGCAUGGUGGGGGUUGGAAAGUUUCGGCGGUUGGGGAUGGACUCGCGGCUUAUCAGCUUGCUGGUGGGGGAGUGGCUUACCAAGGCUUUGACGGGUAGGCGGCCUGAGAGGGUGGCCGGCGUCAAGGGGACUGGGAUACGGCCCAGACGCCUACGGGAGGCAGCGGUGGGGAAUAUUGCACAAUGAGCGGAAGCCUGUGGCAGAGACGCCGCGUGCGGGAUGACGGCCUUCGGGUAGUAAACCGCUUUCGCCUGUGACGAAGCGUGAGUGACGGUAAUGGGUAAAGAAGCACCGGCUAACUACGUG